UUAUAACCAUCUUCUUUAAAAUCAUAAAAUCAGUCAAAGUAUUAACUAAAUUUAAAUUACCGUAACUAUAAAAUUACUAAACUAUUUAACGGUAUUAUAAUAACAGCCAUCUCAUUCUCACCUCAAGUAGCAGGUCGGUUUUUUUUUUGUAUUUAUUUGUCAGUUCAAAGGCCAGUUUCCGUACCUCUUUUGUAGUAAGGCCAAAAUAUAUUUCCACGCAACUUCUUCUUGCUCCUUAGAAAAUACUUUAUUAUGAGUUGCAUAUCCUGUUGAUGCAGAUGCAGAUUUUUAC
rnacentral:misc_RNA from 1 species